GACGAACGCUGGCGGCGUGCUUAACACAUGCAAGUCGAACGGUGACCCAGGGCUUGCCCUGGUGAUCAGUGGCGAACGGGUGAGUAACACGUGGGCAACCUGCCCCUGACUUCGGGAUAACUCCUCGAAAGAGGAGCUAAUACCGGAUACGACCACUUCGGACAUCCGAUGGUGGUGGAAAGUUUUUCGGUCAGGGAUGGGCCCGCGGCCUAUCAGCUAGUUGGUGGGGUAAUGGCCUACCAAGGCGACGACGGGUAGCCGGCCUGAGAGGGCGACCGGCCACACUGGGACUGAGACACGGCCCAGACUCCUACGGGAGGCAGCAGUGGGGAAUAUGCGCAAUGGGCGAAAGCCUGACGCAGCGACGCCGCGCGAGGGAUGAAGGCCUUCGGGUUGUAAACCGUCUUUCAGCAGGGACGAAGCGAAAGUAGACGGUACCUGCAGAGAAGCACGGCUAACUACGU
rnacentral:rRNA from 1 species